UACGAAGGGGGCUAGCGUUGCUCGGAAUCACUGGGCGUAAAGGGUGCGUAGGCGGGUCUUAAGUCGGGGGUGAAAUCCUGGAGCUCAACUCCAGAACUGCCUUUGAUACUGAGGGUCUUGAGUUCGGGAGAGGUGAGUGGAACUGCGAGUGUAGAGGUGAAAUUCGUAGAUAUUCGCAAGAACACCAGUGGCGAAGGCGGCUCACUGGCCCGAUACUGACGCUGAGGCACGAAAGCGUGGGGAGCAAACAGG
rnacentral:rRNA from 1 species